rnacentral:rRNA from 1 species
UGGAUCACUCGGCUCGUACCG